rnacentral:rRNA from 1 species
GACGAACGCUGGCGGCGUGCUUAACACAUGCAAGUCGAACGGAAAGGCCCUGCUUUUGUGGGGUGCUCGAGUGGCGAACGGGUGAGUAACACGUGAGUAACCUGCCCUUGACUUUGGGAUAACUUCAGGAAACUGGGGCUAAUACCGGAUAGGAGCUCCUGCUGCAUGGUGGGGGUUGGAAAGUUUCGGCGGUUGGGGAUGGACUCGCGGCUUAUCAGCUUGUUGGUGGGGUAGUGGCUUACCAAGGCUUUGACGGGUAGCCGGCCUGAGAGGGUGACCGGCCACAUUGGGACUGAGAUACGGCCCAGACUCCUACGGGAGGCAGCAGUGGGGAAUAUUGCACAAUGGGCGGAAGCCUGAUGCAGCAACGCCGCGUGCGGGAUGACGGCCUUCGGGUUGUAAACCGCUUUCGCCUGUGACGAAGCGUGAGUGACGGUAAUGGGUAAAGAAGCACCGGCUAACUACGUGCCAGCAGCCGCGGUGAUACGUAGGGUGCGAGCGUUGUCCGGAUUUAUUGGGCGUAAAGGGCUCGUAGGUGGUUGAUCGCGUCGGAAGUGUAAUCUUGGGGCUUAACCCUGAGCGUGCUUUCGAUACGGGUUGACUUGAGGAAGGUAGGGGAGAAUGGAAUUCCUGGUGGAGCGGUGGAAUGCGCAGAUAUCAGGAGGAACACCAGUGGCGAAGGCGGUUCUCUGGGCCUUUCCUGACGCUGAGGAGCGAAAGCGUGGGGAGCGAACAGGCUUAGAUACCCUGGUAGUCCACGCUGUAAACGGUGGGUACUAGGUGUGGGGUCCAUUCCACGGGUUCCGUGCCGUAGCUAACGCUUUAAGUACCCCGCCUGGGGAGUACGGCCGCAAGGCUAAGACUCAAAGGAAUUGACGGGGCCCCGCACAAGCGGCGGAGCAUGCGGAUUAAUUCGAUGCAACGCGUAGAACCUUACCUGGGUUUGACAUGGAUCGGGAGUGCUCAGAGAUGGGUGUGCCUCUUUUGGGGUCGGUUCACAGGUGGUGCAUGCCUGUCGUCAGCUCGUGUCGUGAGAUGUUGGGUUAAGUCCCGCAACGAGCGCAACCCUUGUUCACUGUUGCCAGCACGUUAUGGUGGGGACUCAGUGGAGACCGCCGGGGUCAACUCGGAGGAAGGUGGGGAUGACGUCAAGUCAUCAUGCCCCUUAUGUCCAGGGCUUCACGCAUGCUACAAUGGCUGGUACAGAGAGUGGCGAGCCUGUGAGGGUGAGCGAAUCUCGGAAAGCCGGUCUCAGUUCGGAUUGGGGUCUGCAACUCGACCUCAUGAAGUCGGAGUCGCUAGUAAUCGCAGAUCAGCAACGCUGCGGUGAAUACGUUCCCGGGGCU